AUUGAACGCUGGCGGCAUGCCUUACACAUGCAGGUCGAACGGCAGCAUGGAGAGCUUGCUCUCUGAUGGCGAGUGGCGAACGGGUGAGUAAUGCAUCGGAACGUACCGUGUAAUGGGGGAUAACGUAGCGAAAGUUACGCUAAUACCGCAUACGACCUGAGGGUGAAAGCAGGGGAUCGCAAGACCUUGCGUUAUACGAGCGGCCGAUGUCAGAUUAGCUAGUUGGUGAGGUAAAGGCUCACCAAGGCGACGAUCUGUAGCGGGUCUGAGAGGAUGAUCCGCCACACUGGGACUGAGACACGGCCCAGACUCCUACGGGAGGCAGCAGUGGGGAAUUUUGGACAAUGGGGGCAACCCUGAUCCAGCCAUGCCGCGUGAGUGAAGAAGGCCUUCGGGUUGUAAAGCUCUUUCGGCCGGGAAGAAAUCGCACAGACUAAUACUCUGUGUGGAUGACGGUACCGGCAUAAGAAGCACCGGCUAACUACGUGCCAGCCGCCGCGGUAAAAC
rnacentral:rRNA from 1 species